GGAAGAUUCCUGGUACCUUCAAGCCCAGGAUUGCUCCAGGCCUCACCAAGGGUCAGGGUUCUGCCUCUUGUUACCCAGUAGCCUCCUCUGGCCUCAUCCCAACCAGGCUAAGACCACAUCAUGGACUGUGUCUCACCCAUGGCUAUUUGCAGCCCCUAAGGAGAGCCUGCUUUCUCCACCACACCCUAUCCUUGCCCAGGUACAUGAGAAGCUGGGGUCAGAGCUGCCAGGCCUGGAGCCAGCCCUGCAGGUGGACCUGGUGUGGGCCCUGUGUGUGCUGCAGCAGGCACGGGAAGCAGAGCUGCAAGCCGUCCUCCACCCUGAAUUUCACAUCCAAUUUCUAGGGGGCAAGUCUCAGAAGGAUCAGAACACCUUCCAGAAGCUGCUCCACAUCAACGCCACUGCCCUGCUGGAGCACCCCGAGUACUCAGGUCCCCUUCUGCCUGCCUCGGCUGUGGCCCCUGGGCCCUCAGCCCUUGACAGGAAGGUGACCCCCCUGCAAAAGGAGCUGCAGGAGACACUGAAGGGGCUGCUGGGGAGCGCCGACAGGGGCAGCCUCGAGGUGGCCACGCAGUAUGGCUGGGUGCUGGGUGAGGGCUCCCCCUGGUCGGCACAGGGCCUGGCAUUGCCUGAGUCUAACG
rnacentral:sRNA from 1 species